GGCUAACGCUGGCGGCGUGUCUUAGCCAUGCAAGUCGAGCGGACUUAUGGGGUAACUUAUAAGUCAGCGGCGGACGGCGGAGUAACACGUAGCUAACCUACCCUCUGGACGGGGAUAACCUACCGAAAGGUGGGCUAAUACCCGAUGUAGUCAUCCUGUAUAGGGGUGGUGAAAGGUGGGCUUCUGUUUACAAGCUCAUGCUGGAGGAGGGGGCUGCGGCCUAUCAGGUAGUUGGUAGGGUAAUAGCCUACCAAGCCGAUGACGGGUAGCCGGCCUGAGAGGGUGACCGGCCCGAGGGGCACUGAGAUACGGGUCCCACUCCUACGGGAGGCAGCAGGCUAGAAAUUUGGGCAAUGGGGGAAACCCUGACCCAGUGACGCCGCGUGCAGGAAGGAGCCCUUCGGGGUGUAAACUGCUGUCGUGUAGGGAGAAGGGUACUAAGGUGAACAAUCUUAGUACUUGACGGUACUACAGGAGGAAGCCCAGGCUAACCUCGUG
rnacentral:rRNA from 1 species